rnacentral:lncRNA from 1 species
UGGAAAUGUGAAGAACAUUUAUCUGAUUCACUUCAUGGAUUGAAUGACUUCUCUGAGGUGCAGGCCCAGGUAGAAAUAAGUUGGCCUCGUCUUCCUCCUAGUUUUCUUUACAAUGGGGAGUGCCCUAAAAUUGGUGCUGCUCCCAACAACUUCCCGUGGGCCCACCAUCCUCCCUGUAGGCGCUCCAACCUGGGAGCGUGGCUCUUGUCAGGUAAAUUGUGCCAUGUUUUGUUUCUUUUUCUCGAAAGGUCAGCCAGUGGUGUGAGGCGGGCAUCUACCUCUUGGCAUCCCAAGCUGUGGACAAGUGCCAGUCUCGAGAGGGAAUCGAUGUGGCCUUGAAUGACAUCAAGACAUUUCUAGGCACUGCCAAGGAGUACCAGUUGCUCAGCCCCAAGGAGUUUUACAACCAGUUUGAGCUGAUACUCACCUUUGAUGUCAAGGUCAAAACCCAGAGAGUCUUGCAGAAGCUCGCUGACAUGCAGGAAAUCUUUCAUAAGAGACAAGUGAGCCUGAUGAAACUGGCGGCCAAACAGACCCGCCCAGUGCAACCCGUGGCCCCCCAUCCUGAGUCCUCCCCAAAAUGGGUGUCACCAAAACCCAGCCAGCCCUCCACCUCGGCCCCUCCUCAGAGAUCAGCGGAGAAACCUCACAGGGAGACAGAUUUGACAGCCCCAGAAAAGGAAGACGAUGACGAGACGAAACCUGAAGUCAAGGUAAAAUCACCUCGUAGAGAUAGAAACUUCUGAGAGGAGAGGGCACUGCUGUAAUUACCAGGAAAUCAGCCAGCUCUGCUCCCCUACCCUGCCCUGAAGAUGCGUCCACAGACCAGAGCUUUCAAGACCUGCAGAAGGUUCUUUUCCUCUUUUUCUCUCUCUUUCAUUGCAACUAGAAAUGAAUACCAUUUGCUUGUGUACGUAACUGCUGGUAGAUACUGUUUUAUUGGGAAGAAGUCAUUUUAUUCAUUCCUAUAAUCUGACUUACAAUUAAAGUUGGAAAACAGUGUGUAGAAAAAG